AUGGAUGGCCUCUCUUCCUCUGACAGAUGCUGUAGAAUCACUCAGCCAUGCCAGCCUGGCUGGUUACCGGGGGGCAACCCUGUAAAUCUGACAUUACGGGCUGUUGACAGGAGAAACGGUUGUUAUCAUAACCCACAUCUGGGUGUUCCAGCAGUAAUGGUGUGUGCUGUGGGAGCAGCAGGAAUGGCCAUUACCAUCCAUGGAUCACUGGUGGGGGCCGGCACGCGGUGGACUAGGACGAGGGAAGGAGGAGCACAGGGAAGAAUCAUGGGCGCUGAAAGGAGAAGAGAUUCAUGGAUGAGGUUCCACUUCAUUUGGUUAAACCUCAGGCGUCGCAUUCGCCGUCUAACCGGAGAGUCGGAUGGACGAGGGAAGCGUUGAUGAAGGCCGGCCAUUAACAUCACGUGGUUCUCCUUUUAAAGCAACGAUAAAGAUGGACCUGAAUUAACCUGCAAACUCACGCGGUUACGAGGGAGACACGAUGAGUCUGAAUUAACAUUUUUUGCCGAACUGCCCUGUUUGUUGGUUGAAUUUAUUAAGACUAUUGAAGGCUUGGAAGACAAAUGAAGGAAUGCUGGAGGAAGACACAGUCCAGAGUUUAUUCGGGUGUAACU
ensembl:lncRNA